GAUGAACGCUGGCGGCGUGCCUAAUACAUGCAAGUCGAGCGAACAGACGAGGAGCUUGCUCCUCUGACGUUAGCGGCGGACGGGUGUGUAACACGUGGAUAACCUACCUAUCAGACGGGGAUAACUUCGGGAAACCGGAGCUAAUACCGGAUAAUAUACUGAUGCGCAUGGUUGGAUAGUGAAAGACGGCUGUGCGGUAUGUUCUAGCUGGAUCCGCGCCGGAUGAGCUAGUUGGUAAGGUAACGGCUUACCAAGGCAACGAGGCGUAGGCGACCUGAGGGGGUGGUCGGCCGCCCGGGAACGUGGACACCCUCCAUGCGCCUGCGGGAGGCAGCAGUCGGGUAUCUUCCGCAGUAGGCGAGAGCCUGACGGAGCAGCGCCGCGUGAGUGAUGGAGGUCUUCGGAUCGUAAAGCUCUGUUAUUAGGUAAGAACAGAUGUGUCAGUAACUAUGCACGUCUUGACGGUACCUAAUCAGAAAGCCACGGCUAACUACGUG
rnacentral:rRNA from 1 species